rnacentral:snRNA from 1 species
AUACUUACCUGGCAUAGGGGUUACCGUGAUCAUGUAGGCGGUUCCCCCAGGGCGAGGCUCUUCCAUUGCACUUCGGUUGGGUUGACCCCUGCGAUUAUCCCUCAUGNNNNN